UACGGGGGGGGCAAGCGUUGUUCGGAAUUACUGGGCGUAAAGGGCUCGUAGGUGGCCAACUAAGUCAGACGUGAAAUCCCUCGGCUUAACCGGGGAACUGCGUCUGAUACUGGAUGGCUUGAGGUUGGGAGAGGGAUGCGGAAUUCCAGGUGUAGCGGUGAAAUGCGCAGAUAUCAGGAAGAACACCCGUGGCGAAGGCGGCUCUCUGGGACGGUACUGACGCUGAGACGCGAAAGCGUGGGGAGCGAACAGG
rnacentral:rRNA from 1 species